GAAAACAUGUUUCUAGGUUUGUGAUUUUGGGUCACAAUCUUCGGGUAUGCAUGUUAGCCAGGCGUCUCUCUCAUGUGUUUCCCUAGUUCCCUCUCAUAUUAUCAUUCUAAUGAAAUCAUUAGACCCCAUGGUCGUUUCUUUCUUUUCUUCAAUUCCUGCCAAGCCUCCCUUCUCUCACUAAUCUAGGAAAAAUCCAUCUUGUUCAUGGCAAUUUUAACCAGAGAUCAAUACCCAAAGAAGCCCUCCAUUCAAAGAAAGGAGAAUGAAAAUGCGUGAAUGGAGAAAGGGAGACAAGGCGCCUGACCCAGGGCCUCUGUUCAAGUGAUAGGUGGGAUGGAGGAAGGAAAAGUUAAAUAUCAAAACUAUUGUAAUUACUAAUGAUAUCUAAUAACAGCAAAGGGGAUCUAUUUGUGCAUAUUUGUAAUGAUCUUUGGGCUUAAAACCAAUUGAAUUCCCGUUGCAAUUAAACAAGAGAAAGGUCAAACAUCUAUAAGAAAAUGAUAGUGUUAUGACCAGGUCACGAAGAGUGCAACAUUACAUCAGGUUCAG